GCUGAUGCCAUCGUGUGUCUCACUAAGUCGUGGGCCACCACCCAGGUCCCCACAGACAUGCCCCCUAUUCCCUCCGGCUCUGGUGGUCCUGCAGUUCCCCGGCCUCUGCUUCUGCUGCUCACCUAUGCCCUCCCACCUUACACACUCUCCUUUCUGUCCCUGUCUCUCUGAGAGCUUCUGGUGUGGAGGGACAGACGUCCCAAGACCACACCGGCUGAGGAAUGAGGGGCUUUCCCAGAACUAUUCCAGGAGUAGCAGGACCCAGGUAUGAAUGCAGGGCUGCCUGCUCCAGAGGCCGAGGCACAGAUAAAGAAACUGAGGCACAGAGAGGGAAACUUGCCAUCAGGUGGGGCAUGUCAGCUGGAGGCAGAUGGCUGCAUUCCCAAGGAAAGAGGAGAGAGGAGGAAGAAAGCUGGGAACCAACGUGGAAAAACGGGCAAGAACCACAGCC
rnacentral:lncRNA from 1 species